rnacentral:rRNA from 1 species
GGAGGGUGCAAGCGUUGUUCGGAAUCAUUGGGCGUAAAGCGCGUGUAGGCGGCCGAAUAAGUCUGAUGUGAAAGCCCGGGGCUUAACCCCGGAAGUGCAUUGGAUACUGUUCGGCUAGAGGACGAGAGGGGGAAGCGGAAUUCCUGGUGUAGGGGUGAAAUCCGUAGAUAUCAGGAGGAACAUCAGCGGCGAAGGCGGCUUCCUGGCUCGUAUCUGACGCUGAGACGCGAAAGCGUGGGGAGCAAACAGGGAUUAGAUACCCUGGUAGUCCACGCCCUAAACGAUGGAUGCUAGUCGUCGGAGUACCUAAUAGCUUCGGUGACGUAGCUAACGCAUUAAGUAUCCCCGCUGGGGAUUACGGUCGCAAGAUUA